GACGAACCGAGCGAACGUUGUUCGGAAUCACUGGGCUUAAAGGGCGCGUAGGCGGGCCGCCAAGUCCGUGGUGAAAUCCCCCGGCUCAACCGGGGGAAGUGCCUCGGAUACUGGCGGCCUCGAGGGGGGUAGGGGCGUGCGGAACUUCCGGUGGAGCGGUGAAAUGCGUAGAUAUCGGAAGGAACACCAGUGGCGAAGGCGAUCACCUGGGGUUGUUCUGACGCUGAGGAGCGAAAGCUAGGGGAGCAAACGGG
rnacentral:rRNA from 1 species